UGGGGAAUAUUGCACAAUGGGGGAAACCCUGAUGCAGCGACGCCGCGUGAGUGAAGAAGUAUUUCGGUAUGUAAAGCUCUGUCAGCAGGGAAGAAAAUGACGGUACCUGACCAAGAAGCCCCGGCUAACUACGUGCCAGCAGCCG
rnacentral:rRNA from 1 species